rfam:Rhizobium freirei PRF 81 Cont730, whole genome shotgun sequence.
CCUGAUGUUCCGUCAUCAGUAGCCUACCGGCACAUGCGGGACUGGUAACGGUCCGGUUUGAAGCUGCCGGGACAAUGUAGCCGGGCCUUCGGGCCAUGCCGAUGUCGUGAGGCUGAGGCAUCUUCUGCGAGCAUCAAUGCGGAUGGGGCG